CGGACGGGUGAGUAAUGUCUGGGAAACUGCCCGAUGGAGGGGGAUAACUACUGGAAACGGUAGCUAAUACCGCAUAACGUCGCAAGACCAAAGAGGGGGACCUUAGGGCCUCUUGCCAUCGGAUGUGUCCAGAUGGGAUUAGCUAGUAGGUGGGGUAAUGGCUCACCUAGGCGACGAUCCCUAGCUGGUCUGAGAGGAUGACCAGCCACACUGGAACUGAGACACGGUCCAG
rnacentral:rRNA from 1 species